rnacentral:rRNA from 1 species
UAUGGUAUUGUGCCAGCAGCCGCUGUAAUACGGAAGUUCCGGGCGUUAUCCGGAUUUAUUGGGUUUAACGGGAGCGUAGGCCGGAGAUUAAGCUUGUUGUGAAAUGUAGAUGCUCAACAUCUGCACUGCAGCGCGAACUGGUUUCCUUGAGUACGCACAAAGUGGGCGGAAUUCGUGGUGUAGCGGUGAAAUGCUUAGAUAUCACGAAGAACUCCGAUUGCGAAGGCAGCUCACUGGAGCGCAACUGACGCUGAAGCUCGAAAGUGCGGGUAUCGAACAGG